rnacentral:rRNA from 1 species
UACGUAGGGUGCAAGCGUUGUCCGGAAUUAUUGGGCGUAAAGAGCUCGUAGGCGGUUGUCGCGUCGAAUGUGAAACCCGGGCUCAACUCCGGCCUGCAUUCGAUACGGGCAGACGUAGAGUUCGGUAGGGAGACUGGAAUUCCGUGGUGUGAGCGGUGAAAUGCGCAGAAUAUCAGGAGGAACACCGGUCGGCGAAGGCGGGUCUCGUGGGCCGAUGACUG